GGAAUCUUCCACAAUGGACGAAAGUCUGAUGGAGCAACGCCGCGUGAGUGAUGAAGGUUUUCGGAUCGUAAAACUCUGUUGUAAGGGAAGAACAAGUACGAGAGGUAAUGCUCGUACCUUGACGGUACCUUGCGAGAAAGCCACGGCUAACUACGUGCCAGCAGCCGCGGUAAUACGUAGGUGGCAAGCGUUGUCCGGAAUUAUUGGGCGUAAAGCGCGCGCAGGCGGCCUUUUAAGUCUGAUGUGAAAUCCCCAGGCUCAACCUGGGAAUUGCAUUGGAGACUGCAAGGCUAGAAUCUGGCAGAGGGGGGUAGAAUUCCACGUGUAGCAGUGAAAUGCGUAGAGAUGUGGAGGAACACCAGUGGCGAAGGCGACUCUUUGGUCUGUAACUGACGCUGAGGCGCGAAAGCGUGGGGAGCAAACAGGAUUAGAUACCCGAG
rnacentral:rRNA from 1 species